AAUCCUCUUCCCUUAAUAGAAGCUGGAGAUAUUUUCUUCUCUAUCAUCCACUUGCUCCCCCGCUAGUUUCAUCGCAAUCUUCGUUGCUCAUCUUCCUCAAGGAUUGGGAAGAUGGAUUUAAUGAUACAACAACCUUGCAAGAAAAUAUAUGCUGAGCAUGAAAACCUUUGACUUGUCUCAAGUUGAUUCUCCAGAUUCGUGAGAUCUUUGACAUUCAGUCCAGAAAGUUCUUCCCCUAAAAGCUGCCUACACUCGCAAGAAACAUAAAUAUAUAUGAGUACGAAGGUUCAGGAAACCAACAUAGGGUUCAUAUGAAUUUUCAUCUAUGGCACUGUACUGAAAAAGCAGAUUAUACAUUCUUGAAGAUGAGAGAGGAAGAAAGCUAAAGAAACCAACAUAGGGAUUUCAUAGUUGCUUAAACUGCAAUUCUUUAUCAAGCCAAAAAGAGAUCUUGGGUUGCACAAGUUAGAUGAAGGAUCGGGAAACAGCUUGACAAAUAGGAUGAAGAUUUGAAUGCAAUGUCUCCUGGCUUAGCCAGUUGAACCUGCAGAAUGCAGUCAAGACCUAUUGCAUGAGAAACAGCAUCUUGUCAAUAGGAAAUUGGUUCAUAACCAAAACCAUUACUUGAUAAGAGCUAACAUGAUAACAUUGGGACCUAUUCAUGUUUGCACCUUGCCACUGCUUGAAGUUGGAUUGGAGCAUCGAAAGAAAGAAUCACGAUGAAUGCAUUGAGGAAUCUUAUUGCCAAGCAUCUAGUGACUAAAAGGUUACAAUUCUCUAGCCCCAUUCCACUUUCAGCUUGGGAUUGAGAUCAACGUUACUUGGGGAUGCUGUGGUGGACUAAGGGAGCCUUGAGUUCGGGUUUGAUAGUUCCUUGAGAUUAGUGUCAAAGUCCGUUCGAGAAGAAAGCAGUAGCCUAACUGAGCAUCUAACAAGGUAUGCUUCUAUGUUACUUGAGCCCUUUUAAACCCAAAUUCAAUGGCUGCCUUGUCUGGAUGGGUGGAAAAUGGGAGGAAGGAAAAUGAGUGGAAUGUUACUAGUUUUUCUUGUUUGGAUGAGAAAGAAGAGGAAGGGAACGAAAAUGAGGAGCAAAUGGGGGAGAAAUAAUCCUCUAUCUUAUCAUUUGUUUUUCCUUACCAAAUUGGUAAGAAAAAGUUGUCUCUCCCUUUCUCAAUCCAUAUUGUACAUUGAACCUAGCUCCUCUCCUCUCAAUAUAUUCACCACCUCCGUUUCCCAUUCCUAUAUCACCCUUUCAUCUCAUCCAAAUACAAAAUUUUCUUCUUCGUUUUUAUUUCUCUUCAGCCCUAUCUUCUCAUCCAAAUACAAAACUUCUCCAUUUUCCCCCUUUAUCUUUCUUUCCUCUCAUUUGCCACCCAUCCAAAUGCAAAAUGAAUGCGGAGACUCGUUCCCUAGAGGCAGUUGAAAUUAAUUGAUCAUUUGGUUAUUUCUAGGACCUCCCGAGACCCGAUAGCCAUUUUGGUCGAAUUGUUUUGUCCACUUUGCCUUCAUUUCCUUCAUUACUAUACUCUGCAAGGUUCAACCAUGUCUGCAGGAGAAACGAACUAUCAUUUAAUAGAAUUCUGUUGAACAUGCUCCCUAGAUGCAGUUGAAAUUAAUUGAUCAUUUGGUUAUUUCUAGGACCUCCCGAGUCCCAAUAGCCAUUUUGGUCGAAUUGUUUUGUCCACUUUGCCUUCAUUUCCUUCAUUACUAUACUCUGCAAGGUUCAACCAUGUCUGCAGGAGAAACGA